UUUUUUAUUUUUUAUUGCGCAAGACACAUGAUGAAAAAACAGAAAGAAAGAGAGUUUUUCAAGAAAAGGUUACAACAGACCUUUUCAUGUGAUCAAAUAUUGUCGCGUGCAUUUGUAAAGUUCCAGCAGGGGAUUGGCACACAUUCUACAGUAGGGUUCCGGGAGAUAGAAACCA
rnacentral:ribozyme from 1 species